AAUUGAUGUCUGCAUAUUAAGAUGGGAUAGGAGAUUUUUUUCCAACAUUGAAAAAAUGACACUUCAGCAUUAAAGAUGGCUUGAGUUUUAGAAGUGAAAUUUAGAAGUCAAUUCCUAAUUCUAAAAUCUGCUAGUAGUAAUAUUCUUAUACAUAUAUGAUCUGUGAUACAGAUGUUGAAUUUCUAUGCAGCACAAUAUAAUUUCAGUGGUUAGAACAAGCUAUGAGAUUCAGAAACUGAUCUUAUUUUUUUGAUGAAACAGUGUAUCCCUUGGUUUCACUUUUGUCUUCCACAUAAAAUGUAUUUUCCAUUAUGCUUCCAUUGCUUAAUAUUCAUGCUAUAUUCGUAUCUGCUGUUGCAGUGCUAGUUUAAAGGUGUAAUACACAAUACAUCAGUUGAACCUGAUGCCCUAGUAUGCUGUUGAGCAAAUAGUUAAUAGAUCAUUCUGUUCAUCAUAUGAUAGGUCAUUUUAGCUCUCUGUGAAGUGAACAUGAUAAGUUAUUGUGCGUAUGGUCAACAACAGAUCUGAGUAACUUACUAUCGGCGUUAUUUUUUAUUUUUUGCAAUUUUUUUUAAAUGCUCCUUUGUUAAGUGUAUUCAGCUUUGUGUGGAGCCAUUGUUUCAGCUGGCGUCUUAUUGCUAUGCAUCAACAUGUUCUCUGAAGUGAGUUUAUGCCUUAAAGAGAGGAGGUAGUCUCAACGCCAUGCAUCAUUCAGUGGUAAAAAUGUUCAAAUGUUUGUACCUCAUUUGAAAUUCAUCAUUGAUUUAUGUAUUUUGUCAUUAGUAAUUGUAUUUAAAUGAUAAGGUGUUUUAUUUUGUUGUGUGAGUUUGUGAGCACUCUUUUUGUUUUGUUGUUGUUUGUUUGUUUUGUGGCAUUUGAGAGCAAGUGUACUUGUUAUAAUGAAGGCAUUUUUUAAUUACUGUAAACAUCUCAAGUGUUGUGAGUCAUGAUACCUGUGCAACAUGUGAAAUCUGAUUGCUGUUUUUUUUUUUUUUUUUAUAUUAAGCCAUGAGCUUUUAGUUCAUCUUUUGUGCAAUGGAAAAAAGAAAAGAAAAACAUAAUACAAUCUGAUCCAAAUUUGAAA